UCAGUUGAGUUGUUCGCGCCUCUCCUGCUCAUGAUUGAUCCCUCUGAAUACCCAUGUUUCCGGUGCGGCAGAGUUAUUAGAUACAACUCGUUCUCCAGGGUUUAUAUUGUUUGCCCAAAGAGCUUGGCCUCUCUCACUCUCUCGAAUCGUUUCACGUUCAUCGGCUUGGUCUUUGUUCAGAAGCUUUCUUAGGUGCAAGAAUGGCCAGUAUCUCUCAGUCUUCUGUUUUUCAGCCUCGUAGGCGUCCUGGAGUUGGAUCAAAGGGACCCUCAAAGUUAUGCUCCAUCCUUCCCUAUGCAGAAUGAGCCAAGCAUCUUGUUGAAAUCUCUGCUGCAAGAGAUAGUGGAUGAUCAAUGGUUUAAGUAUUGUUGAGUUUGAAAUCGCUGCAAGAGAUAGUGGAUGAUCAAUGGUUUAAGUAUUGUUGAGUUUGAUUGGAAUUUACAUCCUCAAGGGCACUGGUUUUGGUAGAGAGACUGUAUAUUCAGAUGGUUUUUCAUAGUAUUGUUUUAAGCAUCUUGUUUGAUUUUUAUAUAUUCUGUAUAAGUUUCCUUUUCUGUAAUCUAUCAAGUGUAUUGGGAAUGGUUCUACUUAAAAAUUUAUAAUAUUGAAGUUGCCUAGAAGAUGGUCUUACAUGGAUUAGUUGUUCUUGGUUCCUUCAAUCCUUUUGUGGUUGAUUUUUUUCAUGUUGCAGUUUUUCUUCAUUUGAGUUGGCUGACAAAGAAAAAAAAUAGGAUUUUGUCAUCUUUUUCCCACUUUCACCUUUGACUGUGAAGGGAUUUGAGGCCGGAUCCCCCCUCCCCUGCCUCUCCUGGUGGGCAUCAUUGUGCUUGGUCUAAUUUUGGUUGGAUAUAUACAGGGUCAUUUAUGGCUGAAAUUUGGAGCAUGCUCAGCUAUCCUGAGCGAAGACUAAUUGGUGUAGGAAGUGUAGUGAGGUCUGAUACCAACUGAUGUAGGAUGGGAAUAGAGAAGUGGAGAGAGAAGAGAAGAAUGAGGGGGAAGAAAUCUGUGUUCAAUCUCAUUAAUACUCAAUAUUCAUCAAAAAGUAAUCAAUACAAUACAUAUGACCAUGUAUAAUCUCAAGUCUAAAAUAGUUGCAGCAAACAUAAAAGUCAAUAAAAAUGGCUGCCAUGAGCCUUGUGAGACAUGUAGCCAUGUGUAUACUUUAAGUUGGAAAAUUGCUAUGCUCAUUUCCAACAAAGCUGCAAGACAACAGACCUUAUUUAUAGGUAAACAGAAACUAAUAUUAAUUAGAAGCAAAUAUUGCAAACUACUCAUAUUUAUUAUAAUUCCUAAAAUGUAUAGGAAAACUCUAAAAUCUGUCUGUCCUUGCCCAUUCUCCAAGCAUGGGUGAGAGUCAUGUGCAAUUCAUGUGUACGGGCAAUGUCCUGAUAUCCAUCACUAAUACUUAUGUUAUUGUUGCUUAUGCAUUUCAAGCUUAUUAUCUGCCUUUAGCCAUGCAAUGUGCAACACAUGCCCUUCAAUGUGUUCAAUUUAUGAAGAAAUCAAAGCACGCAUUUCCAUUUUGAUUUUUUGAGGUUUGUUAAAUUUCUCAUUUCAAUCUACAUUUUGAUUUUUUCCCCUGAAUAAAUUUUCUUUUCCUUAAAUAAGUUUCAAGGAUGCAUGCACUUCAGUUUUUCUUUCUAUUAACCUUCUGUUUUAUUCUUUAGUGUUCUACUUUUUAUUUGCUCUAUGUCAUGAACAUGUGUCUCUACCUUUAGUUUUGCAAUAGCUGCUUGUAUAUCAAUAAUUCAAAGCAAAAACAUAUAAAAGAAGACCCCAUUUAUUAAAAAAACCUAAUAGUUGAAAGCCUGCUGUGACUUAGCUAAACUUCAGUUGUAAAAUUCUGUUAAUUUAGCCAAGUUAUUGCGAAGAUUUUAGUAUGACCCAGACAAGUGAUCGAGCAGCAAAAUGCUUGCGUAGAAUUUUUAAAUGCUUUGUCCAAUCAAUUAGCCAUUACCAAAAGGCCUGUUUGAUUCAUCUUGGACUUUAUUACAAAUUAAACAAAGCAAAUCCUCUUAAACAUGUGCAGAAUUCUAAACACUGCCUUGACUUGGAGCACACAUGAUCCUCACUCAUUUAUACCAUAGAGCGUGUAUUUGCAUACUUUUUUUGUCCAGAGGUUAUCCAAGACACCAGUAUGGAGGAGUGAUUUGUUCAAAGUUUAACAUACCAAAAGAAGCUACAAUAAUAAGGCUUAAAUACAUGAUACACCCCUUAUAAAUGUCAUUUUCGUCUUUUCUCAUUUUGACCAUUUUCUUCCACAUUUUCUCAAAGAAUUUUUUUGAUAAAUCCAGUGAACCACACACCAAACUUAUAGUUUGAGAGCUGAUCAUGUUUACUGCCUUUUGUAUUUGUAUGUCUUUGUUAUCGAAAUUGUUACUGAUCCUUGAUACUAUUAUUGUUGUUAUUAUGAUUAGAUAUUAUUUUUAUUAUUGUUAUUUA